CAGGACACACAGGAAGCUGAGAGACUGAAUCAGGGUAAGAGAUCAGACUCACCUGAACCCAGCUGUGUGUCCAUGAAGAGUGACCAGUCAGAGGACAGAUUUAUAGACUUCAGAGAUGAUAACAGAUCUACCGAGUUCAGACUGAAUCAGGGUAAGAGAUCAGACUCACCUGAACCCAGCUGUGUGUCCAUGAAGAGUGACCAGUCAGAGGACAGAUUUA